GGAGACUUGAGUGCAGGAGAGGAGAGUGGAAUUCCUAGUGUAGCGGUGAAAUGCGUAGAUAUUAGGAGGAACACCAGUUGCGAAGGCGGCUCUCUGGACUGUAACUGACGCUGAGGCACGAAAGCGUUGGGAGCAAACAGGAUUAGAUACCCUGGUAGUCCACGCUGUAAACGAUGAGUACUAGGUGUCGGGGGUUACCCCC
rnacentral:rRNA from 1 species